CCUACGGGAGGCUGCAGUGGGGGAUAUUGGACAAUGGGGGGAACUCUGAUCCAGCGACGCCGCGUGAGUGAUGAAGUAUUUCGGAAUGUAAAGCUCUGUUAGCAGGGAAGAAAGCAGUGACGGUACCUGACCAAGAAGCCUCGGCUAACUACGUGCCAGCAGCCGCGGUAAUACGUAGGGGGCAAGCGUUAUCCGGAAUGACUGGGCGUAAAGGGGGCGUAGGUGGGCUGACAAGUCAGUAGCGAAACCCCGUGGCUCAACCACGGAACUGCAUUUGAAACUGUCGGACUUGAGUGUAGGAGGGGCAAACGGAAUUCCUAGUGUAGCGGUGGAAUGCGUAGAUAUUAGGAGGAACACCAGUGGCGAAGGCGACCUGCUGGACGACAACUGACAGUGAGGCGCGAAAGCGUGGGGAGCAAACAGGAUUAGAUACCCUUGUAGUC
rnacentral:rRNA from 1 species